rnacentral:rRNA from 1 species
CAGCAGCCGCGGGAACACGUAGGGUGCGAGCGUUAAUCGGAAUUACUGGGCGUAAAGCGUGCGCAGGCGGUGCUGCAAGACCGAUGUGAAAGCCCCGGGCUUAACCUGGGAACUGCAUUGGUGACUGCAGCGCUGGAGUAUGGCAGAGGGGGGUGGAAUUCCACGUGUAGCAGUGAAAUGCGUAGAGAUGUGGAGGAACACCGAUGGCGAAGGCAGCCCCCUGGGCCAAUACUGACGCUCAUGCACGAAAGCGUGGGGAGCAAACAGGAUUAGAUACCCCCGUAGUCCCUGUCUCUUAUAC